rnacentral:misc_RNA from 3 species
UCGUAACAAGGUUUCCGUAGGUGAACCUGCGGAAGGAUCAUUACUGAGUGCGGGCUGCCUCCGGGCGCCCAACCUCCCACCCGUGACUACCUAACACUGUUGCUUCGGCGGGGAGCCCUCUCGGGGGCGAGCCGCCGGGGACUACUGAACUUCAUGCCUGAGAGUGAUGCAGUCUGAGUCUGAAUAUAAAAUCAGUCAAAACUUUCAACAAUGGAUCUCUUGGUUCCGGCAUCGAUGAAGAACGCAGCGAACUGCGAUAAGUAAUGUGAAUUGCAGAAUUCAGUGAAUCAUCGAGUCUUUGAACGCACAUUGCGCCCCCUGGCAUUCCGGGGGGCAUGCCUGUCCGAGCGUCAUUGCUGCCCAUCAAGCCCGGCUUGUGUGUUGGGUCGUCGUCCCCCCCGGGGGACGGGCCCGAAAGGCAGCGGCGGCACCGUGUCCGGUCCUCGAGCGUAUGGGGCUUUGUCACCCGCUCGAUUUAGGGCCGGCCGGGCGCCAGCCGACGUCCAACCAUUUUUCUUCAGGUUGACCUCGGAUCAGGUAGGGAUACCCGCUGAACUUAAGCAUAUCAAUAA